rnacentral:rRNA from 1 species
CGUAGGUGGCGAGCGUUGUCCGGAAUUACUGGGUGUAAAGGGCGUGUAGGCGGGACUGUAAGUCAGAUGUGAAAUUCCAAGGCUUAACCUUGGCGCUGCAUCUGAACUAUAGUUCUUGAGUGCUGGAGAGGAAAGCGGAAUUCCUAGUGUAGCGGUGAAAUGCGUAGAUAUUAGGAGGAACACCAGUGGCGAAGGCGGCUUUCUGGACAGUAACUGACGCUGAGGCGCGAAAGCGUGGGGAGCAAACAGGAUUAGAUACCCUGGUAGUCCACGCUGUAAACGAUGGAUACUAGGUGUAGGAGGUAUCGACCCCUUCUGUGCCGGAGUUAACACAAUAAGUAUCCCACCUGGGGAGUACGGCCGCAAGGUUG